CCUACGGGUGGCAGCAGUCGAGAAUCAUUCACAAUGGGGGAAACCCUGAUGGUGCGACGCCGCGUGGGGGAAUGAAGGUCUUGGGAUUUUAAACCCUUGUCUUGUGGGCGCAAAUUAUAAAGAUAGUACCACAAGAGGAAGAGACUGCCAACUCGGUGCCAGCCGCCGCGGUAAUACAGAGGUCGCAAGCGUUGUUCGGAAUCACUGGGCGUAAAGCGUGCGUAGGCUGUUUCGUAAGUCGUAUGUGAAAGGGACGGGCUCAACCCGCGGACGGCACAUGAUACUGCGAGACUUGAGUAAUGGAGGGGCAAGCGGAAUUCUCGGUGUAGCAGUGAAAUGCGUAGAUAUCGGGAGGAACACUAGUGGCGAAGGCGGGUUCCUGGACAUUAACUGACGCUGAGGCACGAAGGCCAGGGGAGCGAAAGGGAUUAGAUACCCUGGUAGUC
rnacentral:rRNA from 1 species